rnacentral:rRNA from 1 species
AUAUCAUAGCGGCGAAUGGGUGAGUAACACGUACUCAACGUACCUUUUAGAUUGGGAUAGCGGAUGGAAACAUCCGAUAAUACCGAAUACUUAUUAUUUUUGCAUGAAAGUAAUAUAAAAGGAAGCGUUUGCUUCGCUAAAAGAUCGGAGUGCGCAACAUUAGCUAGUUGGUGAGGUAACGGCCCACCAAGGCGAUGAUGUUUAGCGGGGUUGAGAGAUUGAUCCGCCACACUGGGACUGAGAUACGGCCCAGACUCCUACGGGAGGCAGCAGUAGGGAAUAUUCCACAAUGGACGAAAGUCUGAUGGAGCGACACAGCGUGCAGGAUGAAGGCCCUAUGGGUUGUAAACUGCUGUGGUUAGGGAAGAAAAAGUAGCAUAGGAAAUGAUGCUACCUUGACGGUACCUGAUUAGAAAGCAACGGCUAACUAUGUGCCAGCAGCCGCGGUAAUACAUAGGUUGCAAGCGUUAUCCGAAAUUAUUGGGCGUAAAGCGUCUGUAGGUUGUUUGUUAAGUCUGGCGUUAAAUUUUGGGGCUCAACCCCAAAACGCGUUGGAUACUGGCAGACUAGAGUUAUGUAGAGGUUAGCGGAAUUCCUUGUGAAGCGGUGAAAUGCGUAGAUAUAAGGAAGAACAUCAAUAUGGCGAAGGCAGCUAACUGGGCAUACACUGACACUGAGAGACGAAAGCGUGGGGAGCAAACAGGAUUAGAUACCCUGGUAGUCCACGCCCUAAACGAUGAUCAUUAGUUGAUGGGGAACUCAUCGACGCAGCUAACGCAUUAAAUGAUCCGCCUGAGUAGUACGUUCGCAAGAAUAAAACUUAAAGGAAUUGACGGGGAUCCGCACAAGCGGUGGAGCAUGUGGUUUAAUUUGAUGUUACGCGUAGAACCUUACCCACUCUUGACAUCUUCUGCAAA